CUUUUUCUUUCACCGGAGCUUGCUCCACCGAAAGAAAAAGAGUGGCGAACGGGUGAGUAACACGUGGGUAACCUGCCCAUCAGAAGGGGAUAACACUUGGAAACAGGUGCUAAUACCGUAUAACACUAUUUUCCGCAUGGAAGAAAGUUGAAAGGCGCUUUUGCGUCACUGAUGGAUGGACCCGCGGUGCAUUAGCUAGUUGGUGAGGUAACGGCUCACCAAGGCAACGAUGCAUAGCCGACCUGAGAGGGUGAUCGGCCACACUGGGACUGAGACACGGCCCAGACUCCUACGGGAGGCAGCAGUAGGGAAUCUUCGGCAAUGGACGAAAGUCUGACCGAGCAACGCCGCGUGAGUGAAGAAGGUUUUCGGAUCGUAAAACUCUGUUGUUAGAGAAGAACAAGGAUGAGAGUAAAACGUUCAUCCCUUGACGGUAUCUAACCAGAAAGCCACGGCUAACUACGUGCCAGCAGCCGCGGUAAUACGUAGGUGGCAAGCGUUGUCCGGAUUUAUUGGGCGUAAAGCGAGCGCAGGCGGUUUCUUAAGUCUGAUGUGAAAGCCCCCGGCUCAACCGGGGAGGGUCAUUGGAAACUGGGAGACUUGAGUGCAGAAGAGGAGAGUGGAAUUCCAUGUGUAGCGGUGAAAUGCGUAGAUAUAUGGAGGAACACCAGUGGCGAAGGCGGCUCUCUGGUCUGUAACUGACGCUGAGGCUCGAAAGCGUGGGGAGCGAACAGGAUUAGAUACCCUGGUAGUCCACGCCGUAAACGAUGAGUGCUAAGUGUUGGAGGGUUUCCGCCCUUCAGUGCUGCAGCAAACGCAUUAAGCACUCCGCCUGGGGAGUACGACCGCAAGGUUGAAACUCAAAGGAAUUGACGGGGGCCCGCACAAGCGGUGGAGCAUGUGGUUUAAUUCGAAGCAACGCGAAGAACCUUACCAGGUCUUGACAUCCUUUGACCACUCUAGAGAUAGAGCUUCCCCUUCGGGGGCAAAGUGACAGGUGGUGCAUGGUUGUCGUCAGCUCGUGUCGUGAGAUGUUGGGUUAAGUCCCGCAACGAGCGCAACCCUUAUUGUUAGUUGCCAUCAUUUAGUUGGGCACUCUAGCGAGACUGCCGGUGACAAACCGGAGGAAGGUGGGGAUGACGUCAAAUCAUCAU
rnacentral:rRNA from 1 species